UUGUGUGACCUGUCGCAACAGACCGAACAGACCAACGGAAAGCCGGUUGUUACUUUUGUUACAUGCCAUUACAUGCGAUAAUAUGCGGCGUAGCUUUUCUCUCGAUACCUUUGCCGAUGCCGCCGUGUUGUAUCUCCUGAAAGAAGGGCUAACUGAGUAAAGGAAUCGUUUUCCUGAUCGCCGACAUGGAGCUCACCGACGAUAAUUUGGUAACGUUGAGCGAAUAUCUGAAACACACACUCUCAGCCCAGACGUGAAUGUCAAACGUCCAGCCGAGAAAGUUUCUGGAGUCGGUGGAAGUCAAUCAGAAUUAUCCUUUACUACUACUUCAUUUGGUGGACAAGUCUGAGAUUAACAUCACGAUUAGGAUUGUCGGCGCAAUUUAAAAGAAUUAUGUUAAGCACAACUGGAAAGUGGUUGGGUUUUGGGUUUAUAUUUAUUUAUUUAUUUUAAUGUUCUUACAUCGUAUGUUAGUUUACUAUUGCGGAAUGUUAUUUUAGGAGGAGGAUUCAGUGGAUCAUAUACAUGCCCAAGACAGAGAUGCCGUCAAGAAACUAAUCGUUAAUCUGAUGUUACAUUCACCAGAUUCGAUACAAAAGCAGUUGUCUGAUGCAGUAUCUAUCAUUGGAAAAUAUGACUUUCCGAACAAGUGGCCAGAAUUGAUUGAUCAUAUGAGUCCCUUGUGAAUUUUGUACUCAGAUAUAAUGUAUUUAACGAUAGUUAAACGCUACAAUAAAGAUAUGUUUUGAGAUCUCAAUGGUA